rnacentral:rRNA from 1 species
UUGGAGGGCAAGUCUGGUGCCAGCAGCCGCGGUAAUUCCAGCUCCAAUAGCGUAUAUUAAAGUUGCUGCAGUUAAAAAGCUCGUAGUUGAAUUUCGGGACCAUCAUGUCGGUCGUGCCUCGGUACGUACUGGUAUUGUUGGUUUCUCCCUUCUGACGAACCACGAUGUCAUUUAUUUGGUGUUGUGGGGAAUCAGGACUGUUACUUUGAAAAAAUUAGAGUGUUUAAAGCAGGCUCACGCUUGAAUACAUUAGCAUGGAAUAAUGAAAUAGGACGUUUGAUUCUAUUUUGUUGGUUUCUAGGAUUGACGUAAUGAUUAAUAGGGAUAGUUGGGGGCAUUAGUAUUCAAUUGUCAGAGGUGAAAUUCUUGGAUUUAUUGAAGACUAACUACUGCGAAAGCAUUUGCCAAGGAUGUUUUCAUUAAUCAAGAACGAAAGUUAGGGGAUCGAAGACGAUCAGAUACCGUCGUAGUCUUAACCAUAAACUAUGCCGACUAGGGAUCGGAUGAUGUUAAUUUUUUAAUGACUCAUUCGGCGCCUUACGGGAAAC